AUAUAUAUAUUAUACACAACACACACAUGACUUUUGGAGUCAAAAGUGUAGGUGCACUUUGACAUACUUUGUCAUAGCAAGUUCAAGGGUGAGACGAUCAAGUGACUUUCGACCAAGAGCUGUUGAAACCUGAGUUGAUCGAAGGUUGUCUUUAAUACUCCCUCAUAAGAAACCCUUAUUAAAAGAAUUAAAGUAUUAUUAAGGAUACAGAAUUAGAGUAAUUUAAUGUUGAAAUGUAGAAUUAUUCACCUAUAACUACUUUCAUUGACCUUAACACAGAUAUUGAAAUAAUGCUUUGUAAAAAAAUAGAUAUGACUGUAUAUCACCAAUGCCACCUCUAUAACAUAAUUUAAUGGUUUAAUAAUUAAUAAAUAUUAAAAUUUUAUAUUAUUAUUAUUAUUAUUAUUAUUUAUUUAUUUAUUUUUUAUUAGAGGGUGUUCUGUGGUGCCGGUGUGACACUAAUUGUUGAACACACACCGAGUAAACCAUACUCAAGCCAGUCAUGUUUAUUGCACAGCUGGCUACAUACUUAGCCUAACACAAUGCAUUCCUCUACCGGAAGCUUAACAGUUAACACAAUAAAAGUCUUUAUAGCUUUAACAACAGCAUCAUUCUUUUCUCCCUCCUUUCACCAAUCCUGAGCCUGACCCGUGAUUUGCCUUUUUAUGUCUUAUCCUUCUGUUUGUUCCAAACAUAAGCAUUAUGCUGACAUCUAGCAAGUCACAAUCCCGAAAUAUGAUUUCAAGCCCAGCAUAAAUAAAAGAAGGCUUACAGACUGCCAGAAGUAGAGUGUUGGAGAAAAUAUAUUUUCAUAUAUAUUUAAUCUCAUUUAUCUUUGGUGUUUAUUCUAUAUCAUUUAACCCAUAUAAUCAUUUAUCCAUUUCAUUUAUAUUCAUUUCAUUUAUAUUCAUUUAUCUUUUUAUGUAUUAUUUGCCUUUUUUAUAUUUUCCAUUUAUGGUUUGCAUUUGCUGUGCCUUAUAACCCCAUUGACAGGUGCACAGACUUCUAACCACAGGUUUUCAAGUAUUGUCAUAUACGAAGAACAAUUUUGUCACAUUUGCCAUUUGCUCUGUGCUCCUACGCAGGCGUAGGGGUUCAAAACCACAAGAGGGGUUGGAGGAGUACUGCUAUGCCUAAUGUGUGUGUUUCUGCAUGUUCAGCAAUGAUGUGAUGAUGUGAUGAUGGAGGCGUGUACAAGCUUCAAUAAAAUGUUGUGCUUUGGGGAAGUUCGUUGGAGUUGGUUGGUCUCUAAGUGAAGCGCUUACAACGCUAAGAUCUCAGGCGAACUCCCCUUGGCCAAGUAAAAUCUCUGGUUGGCUCUCAGUGUGCUAUAUUGUUCUCGUCUCUGUGUGUAUCAGUGCUGUUGUGGUAUUUUCAGACCCAACAUAAUUUGGUCCUUCGAGCCGGAUCUCAACAGUCCACGUCGUGGGAGGAAGGUGACGGAACACCGAAGUCUGACGUCAGCCGGACAACUACUCGUCCGACACAAAAUCCUGGGGCGUGAAUUCGUCGCUGGGUCGGUGGCAUAGAUCCUGAUCUUCCCUCCAGCGGCGUUGAUGACGAGUUCCAGGAGACGAGCAAUACAGCACCAAUAACAGGAGGAGAAGAUCGAGCCAGGUGACCAGAUCCUCAUCAAGGCCAUCAAACGAAAGACGUGGUCAAGUCCGCGGUGGGAGGGGCCAUACACUGUGGUACUCACUACACCGACGGCUGUAAAGAUCGAGGAGAGAGCUACGUGGAUCCAUCAAAACCACUGCAAGAGGGUGAUUCCCCUGGUUGGCACUGAGUAGGGGUGGAAGUCGACCGGUAUCAAAACCUUUGGUCGCCGAAGAAACCAACUGAUCCCCGCUCCCAGCUAUGGCACCAGUGGGUAAGCUCCGGGUAGUGGUCUGUGUCACAAUCUUCAUGAUUGGUUUGUUUGCUCUCAAUGUACUGUGGGAUGGCCAGAUGCUGAAUCUGUUUAGAGUGAAGAAAUGGACUGGUACACCAGUGGACGACUGGAACUGGAAGAACUUGGACCCCAACCACAAGCACCCGUUCGAGACAACAUGUGGUAUCGUUAUGUCAAGGUGUUAGCUAAAGCAUACAUAAAUCGAAUUGUUUUGUGUGCUCUCACAUGCCGCAUUCAUCUUCUCACCUGACACUCUAUGCUACACCCAUGCCUUACCAUGAAAGGUUUUACAAAAGGUCUUAUAAAGUUGAUACAAUGUUUUGACGUUCACAUUGAAAAGUGAUUCAGCGAGAUGUGAUACUAAUGUUUAAUUGUCCUUGUAAUGACAAACAGGGGGGAAUGUUGGAGAAAAUAUAUUUUCAUAUAUAUUUAAUCUCAUUUAUCUUUGGUGUUUAUUCUAUAUCAUUUAAUCCAUAUAAUCAUUUAUCCAUUUCAUUUAUAUUCAUUUCAUUUAUAUUCAUUUAUCUUUUUAUGUAUUAUUUGCCUUUUUUAUAUUUUCCAUUUAUGGUUUGCAUUUGCUGUGCCUUAUAACCCCAUUGACAGGUGCACAGACUUCUAACCACAGGUUUUCAAGUAUUGUCAUAUACGAAGAACAAUUUUGUCACAUUUGCCAUUUGCUCUGUGCUCCUACGCAGGCGUAGGGGUUCAAAACCACAAGAGGGGUUGGAGGAGUACUGCUAUGCCUAAUGUGUGUUUCUGCAUGUUCAGCAAUGAUGUGAUGAUGUGAUGAUGGAGGCGUGUACAAGCUUCAAUAAAAUGUUGUGCUUUGGGGAAGUUCGUUGGAGUUGGUUGGUCUCUGAGUGAAGCGCUUACAACGCUAAGAUCUCAGGCGAACUCCCCUUGGCCAAGUAAAAUCUC